rnacentral:rRNA from 1 species
GCUAAUACCGCAUAAGACCACAGUGUCGCAUGGCACAGGGGUCAAAGGAUUUAUCCGCUGAAAGAUGGGCUCGCGUCCGAUUAGCUAGAUGGUGAGGUAACGGCCCACCAUGGCGACGAUCGGUAGCCGGACUGAGAGGUUGAACGGCCACAUUGGGACUGAGACACGGCCCAGACUCCUACGGGAGGCAGCAUG